rnacentral:rRNA from 1 species
GACGAACGCUGGCGGCGCGCCUAACACAUGCAAGUCGAACGAGCGAGAGGGAGCUUUCUUUCUCGAUCGAGUGGCGAACGGGUGAGUAACGCGUGAGUAACCUGCCUCAAAGAGGGGGACAACAUUUGGAAACGACUGCUAAUACCGCAUAAGCCCACGGUCCCCCUUGUCGCGGAUGGAAAAGGAGCACUCCGCUUUGAGAUGUCCUCGCGUCCGAUUAUCUUGUUGGUGUGGUAAUGGCCCACCAAGGAGACGAUCGGUAGCCGGACGGAGAGGCUGAACGGCUAGAUUGGGAAUGAGACACGGCCCAGAAUGCGACGGGAGGGAGGAGUGGGGAAUAAUGCACGAGGGGGGAAACUCUGAUGAAGCGACGCCGGGGGGAGGAAGAAGGUGGUCGGAAAGUAAACUCGUGUGGUAGGGGAAGAGAAUGACGGUAACGAACAAGGAAGUGACGGCUAACUACGUG